GACGAACGCUGGCGGCGUGCCUAAUACAUGCAAGUAGAACGCUGAAGAGAGGAGCUUGCUCUUCUUGGAUGAGUUGCGAACGGGUGAGUAACGCGUAGGUAACCUGCCUUGUAGCGGGGGAUAACUAUUGGAAACGAUAGCUAAUACCGCAUAACAAUGGAUGACACAUGUCAUUUAUUUGAAAGGGGCAAUUGCUCCACUACAAGAUGGACCUGCGUUGUAUUAGCUAGUAGGUGAGGUAACGGCUCACCUAGGCGACGAUACAUAGCCGACCUGAGAGGGUGAUCGGCCACACUGGGACUGAGACACGGCCCAGACUCCUACGGGAGGCAGCAGUAGGGAAUCUUCGGCAAUGGGGGCAACCCUGACCGAGCAACGCCGCGUGAGUGAAGAAGGUUUUCGGAUCGUAAAGCUCUGUUGUAAGUCAAGAACGAGUGUGAGAGUGGAAAGUUCACACUGUGACGGUAGCUUACCAGAAAGGGACGGCUAACUACGUGCCAGCAGCCGCGGUAAUACGUAGGUCCCGAGCGUUGUCCGGAUUUAUUGGGCGUAAAGCGAGCGCAGGCGGUUUGAUAAGUCUGAAGUUAAAGGCUGUGGCUCAACCAUAGUUCGCUUUGGAAACUGUCAAACUUGAGUGCAGAAGGGGAGAGUGGAAUUCCAUGUGUAGCGGUGAAAUGCGUAGAUAUAUGGAGGAACACCGGUGGCGAAAGCGGCUCUCUGGUCUGUAACUGACGCUGAGGCUCGAAAGNGNGGGGAGCGAACAGG
rnacentral:rRNA from 1 species